rnacentral:rRNA from 1 species
GACGAACGCUGGCGGCGUGCUUAACACAUGCAAGUCGAACGGAAAGGCCCUGCGUUUGUGGGGUGCUCGAGUGGCGAACGGGUGAGUAACACGUGAGUAACCUGCCCUUGACUUUGGGAUAACUUCAGGAAACUGGGGCUAAUACCGUAUAGGAUCUCCUGCUGCAUGGUGGGGGUUGGAAAGUUUCGGCGGUUGGGGAUGGACUCGCGGCUUAUCAGCUUGUUGGUGGGGUAGUGGCUUACCAAGGCUGUGACGGGUAGCCGGCCUGAGAGGGUGACCGGCCACAAUGGGACUGAGAUACGGCCCAGACUGCUACGGGAGGCAGCAGUGGGGAAUAUUGCACAAUGGGCGGAAGCCUGAUGCAGCAACGUCGCGUGCGGGAUGACGGCCUUCGGGUUGUAAACCGCUUUCGCCUGUGACGAAGCGUGAGUGACGGUAAUGGGUAAAGAAGCACCGGCUAACUACGUG